AAAUUGAAGAGUUUGAUCAUGGCUCAGAUUGAACGCUGGCGGCAGGCCUAACACAUGCAAGUCGAACGGUAACAGGAAGCAGCUUGCUGCUUCGCUGACGAGUGGCGGACGGGUGAGUAAUGUCUGGGAAACUGCCUGAUGGAGGGGGAUAACUACUGGAAACGGUAGCUAAUACCGCAUAACGUCGCAAGACCAAAGGGGGGGACCUUCGGGCCUCUUGCCAUCGGAUGUGCCCAGAUGGGAUUAGCUUGUUGGUGGGGUA
rnacentral:rRNA from 1 species